rnacentral:snRNA from 1 species
GGAUGUGAGGGCGAUCUGGCUGCGACAUCUGUCACCCCAUUGAUCGCCAGGGUUGAUUCGGCUGAUCUGGCUGGGUAGGCGGGUGUCCCCCUCCUCCCUCACUGAUCCAUGUGCGUCCCUCCCGAAGCUGCGCGCUCGGUCGAAGAGGACGACCUUCCCCCCCGAGGAGAGGACCGGUCUUCGGUCAAGGGUAUACGAGUAGCUGCGCUCCCCUGCUAGAACCUCCAAACAAGCUCUCAAAGAAGAAAUAAAAAGCAUCCUGGAAACAAAUGACAAUGAAAACACAACAAUCCAAAAUCUAU